rnacentral:rRNA from 1 species
CACGUAGGGGGCGAGCGUUGUCCGGAUUUAUUGGGCGUAAAGAGCUCGUAGGCGGCUCGGUAAGUCAGGUGUGAAAACUCUAGGCUCAACCUAGAGACGCCACCUGAUACUGCUGUGGCUAGAGUCCGGUAGGGGAGCAUGGAAUUCCUGGUGUAGCGGUGAAAUGCGCAGAUAUCAGGAGGAACACCAGCGGCGAAGGCGGCGCUCUGGGCUGGAACUGACGCUGAGGAGCGAAAGCGUGGGGAGCGAACAGG